GGGCUCGUAGCUCAGAUGGUAGAGCAACGGACUUUUAAUCCGUGGGUCGUCGGUUCGAUCCCGACCGAGCUCA
rnacentral:tRNA from 1 species